GGAAAGGGGUGGUGAUUAGGGAGAUGACUGCAGAGACUGUUGGUUACAGAGACAGACCAGCAAAGAGGAAGGCUGUAACAAACCUUGUUGCUCCUGAGACUGCAUGGCCCAGCUCCUAGCACACUGAGGCCCCGAUCUUGAUUGGCCUACUAGGCGCUACUGGAAUACACACAUGAUAGGACACCAAAGAAGAAUCUGGUCUAAAGAAGCUUCCUGCUCUACCUGUGCAUGUCUGUCAGCUCUGGAAUGCUCAUUAUUCAUUUAUUAAACAAUAUAUUGUUUGCAUAUAUGCAUUCAGUGAAUUCAGCAAAAUAGCAACCUGAACAGAAGUCCUACCCCGAACACUAUUCAGACUCAGUUGGAGAUGAUUAUUACAGAUGUCAAUAUGAAGACAGGAAAAGCAAAUGUUAUCAACCGUCACGGAGAAAGGAAUAUGUUAACAAAGAGUGAAAGUGGUAGCUUCCCUUCCAACUAACCAAUGGAUAAGAUACCACUUAUCUCCAUACAGGAACAGCAAGAAAGCAGCAUACAAAGAUGGUAUCACUGCAAGUGUCCUGUACAGUUCACUGGUGCACAGAGUCAGCCUAUAAUAAAGUCAUUUGCAUUCACAGGCAGGCUUGCUUGUGUGGACAGCAGAACAGACUCUGGGAAGUGUUGUUUUACUGAAUCAAAAGAAAUUUGCACAUAAAAGCCACAUCCAGGUUAAUUAACCCUGUGGCUCACUCAAUAUUGCCUUCCCAGUACUCCUAAACAAAUCUCAACUGUAUAAUUAAAUCCUCGGAAGAAGUGUCCCUUAUAUCUUUAAGGGCUCAGCUAGGCUUGACAAGUGUCAAAUAUACUCAUAGCUGAUAUAGUUUU